GAUGAACGCUGGCGGCGUGCCUAAUACAUGCAAGUCGAGCGAACAGAUAAGGAGCUUGCUCCUUUGACGUUAGCGGCGGACGGGUGAGUAACACGUGGGUAACCUACCUAUAAGACUGGGAUAACUUCGGGAAACCGGAGCCAAUACCGGAUAAUAUUUCGAACCGCAUGGUUCGAUAGUGGAAGAUGGUUUUGCUAUCACUUAUAGAUGGACCCGCGCCGUAUUAGCUAGUUGGUAAGGUAACGGCUUACCAAGGCGACGAUACGUAGCCGACCUGAGAGGGUGAUCGGCCACACUGGAACUGAGACACGGUCCAGACUCCUACGGGAGGCAGCAGUAGGGAAUCUUCCGCAAUGGGCGAAAGCCUGACGAAGCAACGCCGCGUGAGUGAUGAAGGUCUUCGGAUCGUAAAACUCUGUUAUUAGGGAAGAACAUACGUGUAAGUAACUGUGCACGUCUUGACGGUACCUAAUCAGAAAGCCACGGCUAACUACGUG
rnacentral:rRNA from 1 species